UUUAGCUUACGGGAGGCAGCAGUGAGGAAUAUUGGUCAAUGGGAGGAAUCCUGAACCAGCCAUGCCGCGUGCAGGACGACGGCUCUACGAGUUGUAAACUGCUUUUGUACCGGGGUAAAAUGCCUUACGAGUAGGGUUUUGAAAGUACGGUACGAAUAAGGAUCGGCUAACUCCGUGCCAGCAGCCGCGGUAAUACGUAUGGUGCAAGCGUUAUCCGGAUUUACUGGGUGUAAAGGGAGCGCAGGCGGCACGGCAAGCCUGAUGUGAAAGCCCGCGGCCCAACCGCGGGACUGCAUUGGGAACUC
rnacentral:rRNA from 1 species